rnacentral:rRNA from 1 species
GAUGAACGCUGGCGGCGUGCCUAAUACAUGCAAGUCGAGCGAACAGACGAGGAGCUUGUUCCUCUGACGUUAGCGGCGGACGGGUGAGAAACACGUGGAUAACCUACCUAUAAGACUGGGAUAACUUCGAGAAACCGGAGCUAAUACCGGAGAAUAUAUUGAACCGCAUGGUUCAAUAGUAAAAGACGGUGUUGCUGUCACUUAUAGAUGGAUACGCGCCGCAUUGGCUGGUUGGUAAGGUAAAGGACUACUAAGGCAAGUAGGCGUAGCCGACCUGUCAGGGGGAUCGGCCACACUGGAAAUGGAACGCGGUCCAUGCUCCUACGGUACGCACCAGUAGGGUACGUUCCGCAAUGGGCGAGAGCCUGACGCAGCAACGGCGCGUGAGAGGUGAAGGUCUUCGGAUCGUAAAACUCUGUUAUUAGUGAAGAACAAAUGUGUAAGUAACUAUGCACGUCUUGACGGUACCGGAUCAGAAAGCCACGGCUAACUACGUG